GAGAGGCUGGAGACCCUUGGGCUGCCCAGCCUGGAGAAGAGGAGGCCAAGAGGUCUCCAAAACACACUGUCCACAUGGUUGCAGAUCUCAGUACUCAGCCCAGUCUAGAUCAGAAUUACUCCAGUGAACAUGACAUGGAAUAUCCAACAUUACACCUCCCUUGACUUUCUUUUUCCUGAUAUUUAGCCAGUAUUUUAUUGAUUUAACCUGUAAAUUCUACUGAUAAUCAUAAUAGCAUAUUUAAACAAUUUCUGUAGAACUCAGGAAGGGAACAGAUUAAAGGGCAGUGCUUAGUUAGUUUUUUCUCUUUUUAUACUCCUUUUUCUUAAGUGUCAUCUAAUUUCAGACUAUAUUUCUAUGGCAAUAUGAACACAUUUGUACUUGAAAAUAUGGUAAGAGCUUAUCAUUUCUAGUGAAAUGUUAUCAAAUGCAAGUUGAAAUUUGAGUAGUGUGUUUUGAACACUUAA